rnacentral:rRNA from 1 species
UACUCCUACGGGAGGCAGCAGUAGGGAAUAUUGGACAAUGGGGGCAACCCUGAUCCAGCCAUGCCGCGUGAGUGAUGACGGCCUUAGGGUUGUAAAGCUCUUUUCUCCGGGACGAUAAUGACGGUACCGGAGGAAUAAGCCCCGGCUAACUUCGUGCCAGCAGCCGCGGUAAU